rnacentral:rRNA from 1 species
CAACCGCAGUUCGAGUGGUGGUCACUUUUAUUGAGCCUAAAGCGUUCGUAGCCGGUUUUGUAAAUCUUCAGACAAAUUCUUCUGCUUAACGGAAGAUCCUCUGGUGAGACUGCAGAGCUAGGGACCGGGUGAGGUUGAAGGUAUUUCUGGGGUAGGGGUAAAAUCCUGUAAUCCUGGAAGGACGACCGGUGGCGAAGGCGUUCAACUAGAACGGAUCCGACGGUGAGGAACGAUGGCUAGGGGAGCAAACCGG